ensembl:lncRNA
AGCAUCAUAACUAUUCCUUGAGAAGGCUCCUCACAUCUUGAAGUCUAUAGCUAGGGAAAAUAAAUCCAUAGUUCGAAUAUCAAUUUUUCUUUUAACCUAUUUGUAGAUGAUUUAUUGUAGUGGAAAGUCAGAUGAUGAUAAGAUAAUGCUGUUUAGAGGUCAUUAAAGAGUUUUGAGGAAGUUUCUACAAAGGUAGUGUUCUUACAUUGUCAGUACGAUAAGAAAACUAACAGUUUAUGUCAAAGUUUGCAAAAUGCGUUUGUCUGAUAAACAGUCUGCUCAGAGGACAUCARUCAUACUUCCUUCCCAGAGUAUAUUGUAUUUUUCAUGAAGUGAACUUUAGUGACUCUGCACAUUCAUGUGUUUGAUAUUGCAGUAUCUUAAACAAUGUCUUUCUGUUUGUAGUGGCUGUAAUGCAGUAUGCACCAUGGUGCCGCAUCUCCUACCAGGCACUAAUAACCAGGAGCCUUUGCUUCUGCUUGAGCCAGUAAUUACACCAACUUCUUUAGCCAGAACCAAACUAUAAAUUUAGAGCACUCCAGCGUUUCAUGGUGAUGGCAGCUACUGUGGAUUUCCAGGCUAUAAACAGAAGAAAAAGGUUUUGGCUUUUCCGUCAGUGGGCAGAAUCAGUCUCAAGUGACUGAGGAAGACCAAUCACCCACAUGGGAGGGUGCAAACUGGCCCAUCCUGAUGGGUUCGAAUGGAAGAGACCCUGAGCAAGCCAUGACACACAAAUACCUGAUGUAUUACUUCAGCAGCAAAUUCAACAAGGCCAAGAUGUCUUCAUUUUCCUUCAGAGCAAGGGCUGUAAGAGCAGUGCGAUGGAAGCCGUGGUCUUCUGUGGCCAGCCGGCAAGAACCCAUCAGCAGCUGUGAUGAGCAGAGCAGACACGGGGAGACAGGAGGCAGCUGAAGCCAAAGAGGACCCACGCCUGGAGCUGUGUGUGUGAUUGGAGCAGAGAGAGGCCAGGACCCAAGGAAAUCCCAGCAGCAAGGGAAAAAAACAGAUUGACUCUCAGUGACUCAUUUAGCUCCUGGAUUGGACAGAUCUCUCCCCUGCUGGCAAUUUGGCUGAGCAUCAAUGGACAGAUACCAGGAUGAAUAGCUUAAAAUAAUUAGGGUUUGGGAAUCUGCAAAACUGCUAGCCCUCCAAUUCUUUACUGUGCAAUGUGAGGCACAAAAAAGAAAUUACAUUUAGGUUAUUAAAUACUAAGUCACUGGAUUUACCUCCAUUUGGUCCAGAACAGGAAGCUGGAUAAAAUUCAACAUUUAUAUCAUUGUGUUGAUGGCCUGUUUAUCACCAAAGAAAUGAGAGCAUUUUGGCAGGUCAAGCUCUUUGACACAUGGGGCAAAUGUGUGCUUAAUUUCUCCCAAACAGAAGAAUUAAUAUAAUAAUAAUUAACAUAGAUGAGAACAGAAUUAAAAUCAAGUACAGUCAAGAGUUCAGUUUAGUGCCAGAAGUCUUAAAUUUUAUAUGUUCUGAGACCAGAUUUUUUUCCUGUUGAAGAUAGCGAGGAUUUUGCCAUUGACGCAAAUGGGAGCAGGAGUAGGCCUUGAAUGUAGAGACAGGAUUCCCUGUACUUUCUAUUUAAUGCGAAAAAACAGAAGCAACAGGCUCAUUUAGUAUCAGUAAAGGUCAGUUAAAAUUAUAGAGACAUCCUUUGGAGCAAAUCCUCUGCCUUGUAUUUGCAUAUUUAUGAACUAGAGAUUACGACAGGCCAUUCCAUUUAUUAGAGCAGCGUCGCUAUAGUUAAUAGUCUGUCAGUAUUUCCAUUAUAAACCCCGUUUUUCAGUGUUUUAAUAUCUCAGCCAUUUAAAAUCACAUCAGGAAGCAAGUUGGCCCUCGUGUUGUCAGGCCAGGUGAAAUUUUUUGUUUUGGAUUAUUUUCAGUGCUGCUAAUA